rnacentral:lncRNA from 1 species
AGAACAAUAAAGACUCUAGACACUGGUUUGUAUGGAUCAACCUUGCAUGCAUCACUUUCCCCACAUUUCCCUUUCCUGUGUGUGAAUUGUUUUAUUAAAGAGACCGAAUUUAUUUUUAACGGAUUGUACAGAAGGCCGGCCCGGAGGUCAAUUAACCUAAUGGAUCAGCUUCCACACGCCCGCUUUCCAAAAAGGAACCACUUUUUUUUCCCCUUCUGGUCAUAAAUCACUACGUUAAAGGUGCUUCUUGGUGGGGGUGGGUUAUUGUACAGCAGCCAGUUGUGUGCAUUGCAUUGGUUGAUGCAACGUUUCCCUGGGCAGAAAACAGCCACUGAGUGACUUUCAUACUCAUCAAUGGCAGAGAGACUCAGGGUAAGGGGGUGCGAUAGCAAAAUCUGAAAGCCAGCCGGUAAGAACAAUGCAAUUGUCCUUUACGCCGUGCGCUGGCUGCUAAAGGGGUACUAAACACACAACACAAUCAUACUGCAAUGCAACAACCACAGAGGAAAGAGACAACGGUCGAUUUCGCACCGGAGGGGAAAUGUAUUGCAUUGCACUCCGAGCUAGUUCAUAGGAAUAGCCCCGGUGCAGCAACAUCUCACGUGACGGCAGAAAAGUCCCAUUGCAACAGAGCAGCUGCAGCCCAAAUUCCCAGUGACCUCAGUGGGACAGAUGGAAGGAGUGCAGCACCCACAAUAAGAGGCACCUGAGGAAAAGGGGAUUGCUGUCCAAAGCCAUAUGCCCAAUGAAGGGGAAAGGGCUGCAACAUUUGCAGUGAGAUGGCUCCUGGGAAGAGGCAUAUGGCCCAUGUGGAGACAGACCUCACCCAGGAGUGGUCUACAGUGUCUGCAAAAGGGCCUCUUCUCGAUCCUAAUGAUUUGGAUCAUGAGGUUUAAGACCAAAUACCCCUUGGAAUAGAACAGCACAACAAGCACACACAAAAAUGCCUUGCUGGAACAGCAUUUCAGAGGAAUAGCUGCUUCUCCAAGACCCCAUCCUGGCCUGGCCUUACAAUCCCAUGGAGUUUGUGCAUCUUGUGCUUUAUGAGAUUACUGUUAUACAAGUGUCAGUUUGUGCUGUAUGAGACACAAAUAAAGCCAAGCUUUCCUCAUCA